rnacentral:rRNA from 1 species
GAUGAACGCUGGCGACAGGCUUAACACAUGCAAGUCGAGGGGAAACGACGUGGAAGCUUGCUUCUCCGGGCGUCGACCGGCGCACGGGUGAGUAACGCGUAGCCAACCUGCCUCUGACGGAGGGAUAACCAGGCGAAAUUCGGCCUAAUACCUCAUGGUAUCGUCGGCGGGCAUCCAACGACGAUUAAAGAUUUCAGCGGUCAGGGGCGGGGAUGCGUCUGGUUAGCUGGUUGGCGGGGGAACAGCCCACCAAGGAUACGAUCAGUAGGGGUUCUGAGAGGAAGGUCCCCCACAUUGGAACUGCGACACGGUCCACACUGCUACGGGACGGAGCGGUGAGGAAGAUUGGUCACUGGGCGAGAGCCUGACCCAGCCAAGUAGCGUGCAGGAAGACGGCCGUAUGGGUGGUAAUCUGCUUUUAUGCGAGGACAACGUGAGGGACGUGUCCCUCAUUGCAGGUACCGCAUGAAUAAGGACCGGCUAACUCCGUG